CUGAAACACGCAGUGGACAGCACUCGAUACUCUGAGUCACGUGACCUAGCUAAAACCAAGCAUCUUGUCAAGUCCAGGUGCUUACUACACCCAGGACAGCUCCAGAGAAGCAACCUUCAUAUGCUCCAAUCUCCUCUCAUAGACACACAUUCCUACUGGACCUGUCCCUUCUGACCUAUCCUCAGAUGGCUCCACAGACCCUGGACAGCAAAGAGGCAGCCAACUCUCCUAAGACUGGAUAAACAUCCCCCAUAACUGAAAGAUCCUGACAGAAUGCAAAAGGUCACAGAAGCCCUGAAAUUGGCAAAAUAGAUUUCAUGGCUAGCAGAACUAGCUUCACUGAUUUAGAAAAAUAGAGGUGCACAAUGCUCUGGCCGCUCCUUGAACCCGUGUGUCUGCCAAUGUUCUGGCCGCUCCUUGAACCCGUGUGUCUGCCAAUGUUCUGACCGUUCCUUGAACCCAGGUGUGUGCCUACUGCUGCACCUCACUGCCAGGUGUUUGUGAUAUUGGUUGCUGGGACAGAGUCGGAAAAUCUCCCCAGCAACCACAGCCCGGCCAAUCCUGAAUUGCUGCACCUGCUCCAGACUCUUUCCUUGUACCCCUCCCAUACCCAUUUCUUGAGAAUAGACAUUGUUUAGAUCUGGAAAUCCCCUACUCCCCCCUUCUCCUUUCCCCCCUGAGGACCUAUACUGGAACCCCU
rnacentral:lncRNA from 1 species